UUCAUCUUUUUAUUUUUUAUUUUUUACACUGUAGGUUUUGUUUUUAUGUUUGUGCAUCUAUCUAUACAUAUAUGGAACAGUGAUAAUAAAAGGAAGUCAUCAACUUAAGUGGGAAGACUGGCCAUAAAUAUGGAUCUUUUAAAGUGGGAGGAUCCACCUGAAAUUUGGGCCACACCCUCUGGUGGCAGCCUAGAGAAAGGAUGUGCAAGAAGAAAGUGCUUCUUCUUUGCCUGCCUGCUGUUACUCUCUCUGCCAACCCUUCUGGCAUUAGAGCCUAUUUCUCUGGUAUCCCAGCUUAUACUGAAGACUUGCUGAGACAUCCGGCGGCCUCAUGGACUGAACCACUACUGGAUUCUUGGACUUUUCGUUGCAAGUCAGGCAUUGUUGACUUAGUCAGACCAAAGUCAGACCUGUAAGCCAUUCUUAUAAGUCCUGUUUAUAUGUGAACAGAGAUUCAUUUUAUCAGUUUUGUUUCUCUAGAGAAUCCUGAUUGAUACAAUGCAAUAAAAACAAAUUAAAAAUAAAAAUAAUUCAUUUGAAAACAAAAAUAAUGUAUCAUCGGGACUGGAGAGAGAUGGCUCACUGGAGAAGAGCACUGGCUGCUCUUGGAGAGGACCUCAGUUAGUUCUCAGCACCCACACAGCAGCUCACAAGAGCUCCAGCCACACACACACAAACACACAUACACAUAGAGAGACACACACACAUACACACAUACAUACAUACAUGCACAAUAUAUCUUUAAGAAGGGAAUCUUUCAUCUAUCUUUGUUUCUAUCUAUUCAACUACAUACUGUGUAUUUCUCAUACACCUGUCUUCUGGGAUACACCACUUUCAGCUCUCAAUCCUUAAGAGAUAUAUAGACAGUAUUUACUUCUGGAUGGUUUUUACCCUUCCCAGGUGAUACAUGAAUCAGACUCUCUGAAAUCUGUGUGAAAACAUAAAUGACCAGGCUGUAUGCCAGAGUUUUAGAGUCAGAAGAUGUUGAGUGGAGGGAGAGAAUUUGUUCCUGACAAACUCCCUAGUCCUCCUCUCUGUCUCACAGUCUCCCAUAGAUAACCAUUAUCAAAACUGACGUGUUAUCCUUGUCUUUGCCUUUCUUUAUCUUAUCAUCUAUGUGUAGAAUCCUGAGCCAUGUACAAGCAAUUGCAGUCCUAUUGAGUUAGGACUUCAACUUCACUGUUCAACUAGCCAUUUAUUUUUUAAGAUUUGUUUUUAUGUGCUGGUGUGCAUGCCUCUGUGUCUUUGUGAGUUUAUGUACACGUGUGCUCAGGCGCCUGCAGAGGCCAGAAGAAGGCAUUAGAUCAUUUGGAGCUGGAGUUCCAGGCAUUUGUGAACUGCCUGAAGUAGGUACUGGGAUCCAAAACUCUGGUCAUUACAACUGAGCAGCAAGAUCAUUAGUCCCUGAGUCAUUUCCUCAGCCUCUAGCUGUUUAUUCAUUAAAUGGGAAAAAAGACCAGGAAAACAAAUGACUGUGAGCCACAAAUACUAACAUCCUUAGACUAUCAGAUGCAUGGCUCAGUGUCUCCCUCUCAUCCUUCUAAGAUAGUUUACCUUCCUUCUCAUGGAGAGCCCCAGGAAUCAUGUCAGAAUCAGGAAAAGUUGCCUCUGAUUUAUUCUGAGUGGCUUCUCCUGGAGUUCUACCAUCAGAUUCUGCUCAAGUACUAAAGACACCCAGUGAAUGAUCAGACGGGUCAGGUGGGGUCAGAGCCUGAAGCAUCUGAAGAGCAAUCAAAGCUGCACACCAGUCACAGUGAAUGAGAAAGAUGCAGACAAGAGGCACAGUGGCUUCAGCACAAACAGAGGAAGAGGCUGCUGGCUAGAGUCUGCUUACAGAACCCCUGAGCUCCUUCUGGACUGUUUUUCCCUCUGUAAGGUUCUCCAGCAGCCAUUCAGUUGCCUCUUUUUAUUGAAUUUAUCUAAAUGUAUACCUGAUCCUACCAGUGAAAACAGGGCCUUACUGAGAAAGUGAGCUUAAGUAAUGUUCAUGCAUGCACUCAUUAUUGGCACUAUUUUCCCAAUGUAUAAUUUAUAUGUAUAUAUGAAAUAGAAUAUUUUAGCUAUCCUUUAAUAAAAGAGUGGCCACUAAAUACUGUGAUAUAUUGUGACAAUCAGAAUAUUAAUUCAGCAGAUACUUUACUGAACAUUUACUGUAUCUGUAGUUGCAGAGAUGUGCUGUAAUAGUGGCCUUUUAAGAGCAUAUGUAGCCUCAUAGGAAUUGCGGGUUAUAGAUAGGCAAAUACUAUGCCCCAAAAGUUUAAAUAGUUAUAUAUUCGUGUGUGUGUGUGUGUGUGUGUGCGCGCGCGCACUCGAGCUUCCUUCACAAACUAACUUUACCUUCAUUGUUUGGGGUUAAAGGUAUGUACUAAGGGUGUGUCUGUAUUUCAGCCAGAGGGAUUAAUGGUGAGUGAUAAGGGCUGAGUCAUACCACAACUAGAAACAGGUUUUUUUUUUUCAGUAAAUAACCCAUUUUCAAGGUUCACAGUGCGAACAAAUAUCCUGCAACAGGUAAUGGCCCUAUGGACUCACAUAUUUGAAUAUUUGGUUCCCAGUUGGUGGUAUAUUCAGGAAGGAUUAGGAGAUAUGGCUUUGUUGAAGGAGUUGUGGCCUUGUGGGAGGCAGUAUGCCACUGGGGGUGGGCUCGGAGGUUUCAAAUAUGCCAGGUCCAAUCUUGUCUGUUCUCUGUUUCCUACUUGUGGAUCAGAUGUUACGAUCUCAGCUACUGUUCCAGCAUCAUGCCUGCUUGCUUACCACCAUAAUGAAAGUGGGCUAACCCUCUGGAACUGUAAGCGAGCCAUGAAUUAAAUGCUUUUUUAAAAGUAAGUUGACUUUGUCAUGGUGUUUCUUUCAGCAAAAGAACAGUAAUUAAAACAGGUAUUUAAAGAAUAUAGUAGCUAGGGUAAGAUAUUAAGAUAAGGUUGUCUGAGAAGGCAACAUUAAACUGAGGAUUGAGGAAGCUGGAGAGAUGGCCCAGAGGUUAAGAACACUAGAUGCUCUUGCAGAAGACCCAAGUUCUAUCCCCAGUACCCACAUAGUGGUUCACAACCAUCUUUAACUCUAGUUCCCCAGGAAUCUGAUGACACCCUCUCUUGGCCUCUGUAGGCACCAGGCAUGCACAUAACACACAGAUAGACAUACAGGGAAAACACGCAUACACAUGAAAUAAUUAAAUCUUAAAAAGCAAACCAAACAGCAAAAGAAAAAAAAUCUGACACUUGAAAGUUGAGCAAGAGCUGGACAUGAACUUGUGCCAAGCGUAGGAAAGAGUAUGCAGAAAAGUCAGGAGAUGGGAAUAACCACACGUUAGCAAAAAACAUUUGUCCUGAUAGAGUCAGGAAGGCUAAUGGUAGAGACAUGAAAGGGAAUGGUGGGCAAAUAGCUGAAUCCUUUUAAGAUGCACCUAAGACCCUUGGAGCAUGUCUGCAAGCAGUGGAUAAACCUGGCUUGUUGAAAUGUGGUCAGGAGUGUGACAUACUUACCUGUUCGCAGACAGGCCACAUUUGCAAGCCACCACUCUGGGAUCUUGGGCAGUAUCACCAUUACUCUGUCUCCUCUUUGCAGGGAGCAGGCUUCUGUGAGUAUGUUGGCAAAUUUCCUGGAUAACAACCCAAGUUCUUCAAAACUCCAUCUCAGCUCUUCUCCAUUCCCAUCUAUCCACCAGAAGGCUGGAUUGGAAAGUCUCUUUCCAGCCUGAGGAGAGCAGAGAGGUCAUGGACUUAGAGGUUGUCAAAGAGUUAAAUUAUAUUUCAGCUGACUUAAUAAACAUAUUCUCUGCAGAAAA